UGCAAGUCGAACGGUAGAGGGGGCAACCCCUUUGAGAGUGGCGAACGGGUGAGUAAUGUAUCGGAACGUGCCCAGUCGUGGGGGAUAACGUAGUGAAAAUUACGCUAAUACCGCAUACGAUCUAUGGAUGAAAGCGGGGGAUCGCAAGACCUCGCGCGAUUGGAGCGGCCGAUAUCAGAUUAGGUAGUUGGUAGGGUAAAGGCCUACCAAGCCAACGAUCUGUAGCUGGUCUGAGAGGACGACCAGCCACACUGGAACUGAGACACGGUCCAGACUCCUACGGGAGGCAGCAGUGGGGAAUUUUGGACAAUGGGCGAAAGCCUGAUCCAGCCACUCCGCGUGCAGGAUGAAGGCCCUCGGGUUGUAAACUGCUUUUGUACAGAACGAAAAGGUUUCUAUUAAUACUAGGAGCUCAUGACGGUACUGUAAGAAUAAGCACCGGCUAACUACGUGCCAGCAGCCGCGGUAAUACGUAGGGUGCAAGCGUUAAUCGGAAUUACUGGGCGUAUAGCGUGCGCAGGCGGUUAUAUAAGUCAGAUGUGAAAUCCCCGGGCUCAACCUGGGAACUGCAUUUGAGACUGUAUAGCUAGAGUACGGUAGAGGGGGAUGGAAUUCCGCGUGUAGCAGUGAAAUGCGUAGAUAUGCGGAGGAACACCGAUGGCGAAGGCAAUCCCCUGGACCUGUACUGACGCUCAUGCACGAAAGCGUGGGGAGCAAACAGGAUUAGAUACCCUGGUAGUCCACGCCCUAAACGAUGUCAACUGGUUGUUGGGUCUUAACUGACUCAGUAACGAAGCUAACGCGUGAAGUUGACCGCCUGGGGAGUACGGCCGCAAGGUUG
rnacentral:rRNA from 1 species